AGCUCUUAACGGCUCUCUGCUGGUUGUAUGUCACAAGCCAUCUUCUCACCCCUUUGUGCUCCCCUCUUUGGUCAAAUGGUGUUUCUGAUCAGGCCUUUUCCUGGGGAUGUGUGUGUCCUUUGUGGGCUCUUCUGCUGGUGUAGGACUUAGGGAACACAUCGUGCAGCUGCCCUUGGCUCUUCUCUCUGAGGCAAGCAAAUGAGAAUUGCCAUUGAGGACGCAGGGUGCCUCGCCCAGAGGAGCUGGGUUUGCUCAGGGCUGGGCUGGCUGGGGCCAUGGGCAGCCCAAGCUGGUCGGGAACAACCAGCCCAAACCAUGUGGUUGGAAGGGGAUGGGCUUUAAGGUCCCUUCUAACCUAAGCCAUCCUCCCUGCAGCAGCCGGGGCGAUGCCAGUGUCUCCAUCUCUCCAGGCAGGCUCCUGCUGGUUUGUGGUUCCUCUCAUUGCUGCUGAAGUUUUCACUUCUCUUACAGCUUUUCAAGUCAGCUGCUGCUUUCUCUCUGCUUUUGUGGUAAGUGACCCUGUGUCAGCAAGCAGAGCAGUGGUGAGCUUGGAAGAGGGAGUGGGAGGGUGCUUGUCUCAGCAUCUCUCCCUGGGUUUUCAACUGAAGCCUCAGUUUUUGUUUCAGAAUGACAGAGGGUUCUCUCUGUACGCUAAGGAGUGAUUAAACAGCUGUCAUUCUCCGUGUGCAGCACCGAGACACUAACACAAAAAAUGCAGGUGUCAUUAUGCAGUUUUGCCCUAUUAAAGAGUGAAACAGUUUGUUUCAUAAAGAAGAGUACUAGGGGGAUACAUUUGCCAAAACACCAGUACUAGUUUUACCACUGGCAAGUGGUUCCAGUGAGUGCAGAUAGUAAAUCGCAGCACCAAAUGCUUUUGUUGGAGGGUGUGAUGCCUUACCUUUCUGAGCUCACUACCCGGUUUGUUAAUUCCUUCUGAAUUACGGCACUGAGAACAGGGAUGUUUGCAUAUCCUCGGUGGUUAUUUCUUAGCUGGGCUGUUAAAAAUGAAUCUCUCCAAACACGCAACAUCAAAUGGGUUUGCAAGAAGAGGAAGGCUUUCCCUGCAGUGGAAGAGAUGGAAGGGAAAGUAUGUAGCCGGCUGCCUGGCUGCACAGCAGGGAUCAGAUGUGAGCUGUGGAGCACGGAGAUAAGUUGUCAUCAACAAGAGGUUGUCUGCACAGCCAACUUCAGCCUGUAGUUUUGAUGUGUCUCCAGCAAUAAAAAAACAAAAAAUAGUUCUAAAGGGGCACGUACUGCAAAGCUAGCUGAUUUUGCUUCCUAACUGAAACCUUUGGCUCUCAAGUGCCUGUUAGGCAGCACGUGGCAACUUUAACACACCUGAUACAAAAACCCCGUUGGAGAGUCAAAGCCACAAGGAACACAGCUGAUGUGAGGAACGAGUAAAAUGGGAGUUCCAGAUAUGAGCCCAGUGCUGAGUGGUGCUCUGCUUAUUUGAGAGCAGGUUGGCUAUUAGGAAACGUUUCUUCUCUGAAGAGUGGUCAAGCACUGUUCCUGGGGGUGCUCAGAACCGUGGGGAUGUGGCACUGAGGGAUGUGGGCAUGGUGGGGUGGGCUGGGGUUGUGUUGGGGAUCUCAGAGCUCUUUUCCAACCUUAAUAGAAUAUUAAGUGAAUAGAAAAUACAUUAGAAGUCUGAUCAAUGUGAUUCUGUCCUAUUAAUAGGAUGGAACAUACUGUGUUCCUUGAGGUGUGUGAUAUCUCAAGGAACAAGAAAAGAAGGUCACUGCAGCUUUUAUGUCAAUUUCAAUUUUAUUAGGCAAUAAAUAGAAUAAAUAAGGCUCAUCAUCAUAAAUAAACCAGGAUUAUUAUAAAUAUCCGUUUCGGGAGCUCACAAUUGAAUAAAUAAAACACUGAAGACAAACAGCAGCUGAGCGCUCGGCGGUCUGAGAACGUUCUCAUACAAUACAGCUUAUUGUCCCCAGGCUUAGAAGUUGGAUGCGCUGGCUUGAAAGGCACCGACAGCAGAACAUGGUGUAUAAGUAGCCGUACAGCAGGGCGUCUGUGCUGCUGCGUUUGCUUCUUACAUCUCUGCAGUGAGGGCACUCAGGUAGCCCAGCAUCCUGCCGAUGGUGACUGCGCGCAGGCAGAAGGCGUGCAGGACCCCGCAGAGCCGCAUGCGGCCCUGGAAGGAGCCAAGGGUGGUGCUGGGCGAGGGCUGCAGCAUGGCUGGGCUGCGGGGCUGCAGGGCCUGCAGGGGGGAGGGAGGGAGGUUAGUGUGGGCAUGAACAAGCUCUUAACAUCUCCCAGUUUUACUCCUAGGAAAAUCAGUAUCGACCUUCCCCGCUCCCAGCUCCCCAGUGACUUAAGUGCACAACGCAGCGCUGCUCCUAAAACCCCAUUUAAAGAUGGGAAGAACAGAAAGGAGCGAGAUGGAAGCGCUUACUUGCAUCAUGUCAUCAAUGGAUGUCAGCACCCUCAGAUCCCUGAGGUUCCCCAGCUCUGCCUUGUAGGUUUUCAGGUCUUCGUAGAUCCCCUGCAGGCAUUUGCUCUGCAAAAGUUAAUAAGAGAUGCUGGAACUUGUUGCUAAGUGCUCAAAGCACAGGACAAAGGUUCUUUAUGGAAGCUCACAGCUUACCAUAUCUAAAGUAGAACUUUCCAGUACGGGGCAGUUUCCAGGCUGCAAAUAAAGAAGAAACGAUACAGGUUCAUUUAGUGACAACCCGUUAUGUGGCUGCUGGAAAAAAAAACAUGAUGCUGAAAUUGGUUAUUUCGGUUUUACCCCCGGAUCCUGAGACGUGCAGGACUUUAUUGUGUUGCUCUGACUGUUGGUGACGUCUUCAAGAUCGACCUCUUCAAGGGUGCACUCAAACCCCAGCGUCCUCUGCUUCUGUGUUAAGAGGGGGGGGGAAGAAAAGGGGUAAACGAUUCAGCUUCAGAAAACAGCAACUAGAAUCAGAACCAGCAGAUGUGAUGUUUGUGCUGUGUAUAAAGCACUAGAAAGAGGAAAAAAAGAAAACACAGAGGCAGCGCUCACUGAUACACGGCAACUUUGGGAAGCUCUUUAGUGGUUUUCUUUCGUGCUUCUGUGAGAUGAAGCUUGCAGCCCCAGCAGGGGACUUUGGCAGAAACUCCCAUCUUGACGCUGCUGCCGGGGGGUUUAGGGGCAGGAGGGCUCUGUAACAGCAAAGCCAGAGCAGCGGCACACAAAAGGAACGAGCUUGGGAGCACGUGUCUGUAGAGCCACUCGUGCGGAGCCGUUAGAGAAACAGGUGCUCAGAAGUAAGCAGUCCAAUUGGUUCGCACUGUGCUGCAGUGGAUGGGAGCUGGGAGACACCUGUGCGACACAGGUGCUGCUGAUGGUGUGGGCGGGCGCUGCGAGCGGCUACAGAGGCCCGCUGGGAGUUCAGAGGGAGCGUUCCCCGAGCUGAGCGCACACGUGCUCUCCUGCCUGCGGUUUAUCUUCAACGUUUCUCCUGCCUGGAUAGCAACGGGAACCCAUCUCCAUCAUCCUGGGUGCCUUCACCAACGCAUCGUCUGCCUGGACACCAUCUCCAGCCCUUCUCCUGCUCGGCUAGGUUCUGUGGCCCUGAACUGCCAGAUGGGGUGGUUUUAACUGUGGAGAGGGGCGAGCACCGCUGUAUGGCUGGGCACCCAGAAACGUGGCCUUGCACACGUCGGGCACAG
rnacentral:lncRNA from 1 species